AUGAGGGCGUUAUUCUGGAAUAUUAGGGGGUUUGGUGCUAGGGGGCGCCGUGACCAACUUAAAGAGUUGGUUCGUUCUAAUUCUAUUGACUUUGUGGGGCUGGUUGAAACCUUCAAGGAUUCCUUCUCCCCUAAUGAUUUCUCUGUUAUUGUGGGCAUGGACAGAUUUAAUUGGCAAUUUUUACCUGCUUCGGGUCACUCCGGUGGGAUCUUGAUUGGCUCCAAUAAAGAUAUUUUUGAUUUUGUUGCUUUUGAUCAUGGGAUCUUUUGGGCUAGUGUUGUUCUAUCUCAUAAAGCUAUGAAUAUUCUCUGUGAGUUUAUUGUUGUUUAUGGGCCUGCGGACCAUUCUCUAUCGGCUUUAUUCCUUAAUGAGCUUUCGAUGAAGAUCGAUUCUUGUAACUUACCGAUGGUUAUCGGGGGAGAUUUUAAUCUUCUGCGGUGCCCUAAUGACAAGAGUAAUGAUAUCUUCUCCUGGCCUCUAGCUAAUGCAUUUAACGACUUCAUUAGUGCCAAUGCUAUUCGUGAGCUUCCCCGGGGGGGGAGCCCGCUAUACUUGGUCCAAUCAUCAGGCUAA
rnacentral:rRNA from 1 species